rnacentral:lncRNA from 7 species
GACAUUCCAGCUUCAUUUUGGAGUGACCAUUCCUAAAAGCAAAAAGACAGCAGUGACUCUGGACCACUUUUUCUGCUGAGAUCAAUUGUCUGCUACAAUGAUGGAUGUUUCUUUACUUUGGACUAAGCUGAAAUUCCUGUCUCGUUUCUUGUCUCUGAAGAGCAUGAAGAUGUCUUUCUGAAAAUCAGCAAGAAAAUCUCUGCGGCCUUACAACUUUGUAGAGAUGCUAUCAAGUGUGAUUGGCAGAGUUCUGGAUAAGGGAGGCAGAUAACAGAAUGAAAGAAGUAAGCUGGCAGCAAUGCAGUGAAAUCAGUUAAGGUCUAAGAGAAAUGUCAGGAAUCAGGAGAUGCAGAAUGAAAGGAGGAACCAGAACUCUGCACAUGAAAGGCAACUAUGGUUCUGUUGGAGUAACUUGGGCACGUGUUACUGGAGUGUGGGAGUUGACAGCUGCGGACUCUUCAUGACAGAUAGUAGGGGAAGUUCUUCUGAUUUGAACCCAUGUGAAAGCUCCUUUGAAUCUGAGUAUGAGUCAGAGCAGCUUGAGGAUGCCACAGUUCUCUACGAACCUCGUGGGAUUUGCUGCCUGGCCACCCUGGCCUCACACUCCCUGGUGGCUUUACUGUCCUCUAGAGCAGAAGAGGUGGACUCCAGUGAAUAGGAUCUUUUACCUAUAAGAUCCUGUGAAGAUAGACUAGCUUGUCUGAGGUGCACAGGUCUGAAAUAUCUUGUCCCAUUGAUGUUGUGUUUGAAUCAAAGCAUAAAAAAAUCAACUUAGUGUUGGUGUUCAUUGGUAGAGAUACUUCAUCAGAGAGCUACAUACAGAGAGCUUUAGUUUCUGUUAGAAAUUCUUUAUUCUUAGAAAUAAAGGAAAAAUCCAGCUCUAUCUCAGUAUGCUACACCUUAUUGCCAUAGGGAUCUUCCCUUAUUUAGGAAGGUAGUAGAGGGCACCUGUGAACUCACAGAUGACAACAUAUUCUGUGAAAUGUUUCUUUAAACAAAAUCUUUUAAAAAUGUGGAUACUGACAAAACACAAGAAAUUACAGAAUUUUUACAGAAAUAUAUUUAAAACUAAUGUGAAAAGGAAUAUGUGUAAUGGUUGCACAGUUGCUGCCUUUCUCUGAUUAAAAAAGAUAUCUUUCC